rnacentral:rRNA from 1 species
AGGGGAAUUUUGGACAAUGGGGGCAACCCUGAUCCAGCCAUGCCGCGUGAGUGAAGAAGGCCUUCGGGUUGUAAAGCUCUUUCAGUCGGGAAGAAAAGGCUCUCUUUAACAGGGGGAGUUGCUGACGGUACCGACAGAAGAAGCACCGGCUAACUACGUGCCAGCAGCCGCGGUAAUACGUAGGGUGCGAGCGUGUAAUCCGAAUUACUGGGCGUAAAGCGUGCGCAGGCGGUUUGCUAAGACAGGUGUGAAAUCCCCGGGCUUAACCUGGGAACUGCGCUUGUGACUGGCAGGCUGGAGUACGGCAGAGGGGGGUGGAAUUCCACGUGUAGCAGUGAAAUGCGUAGAGAUGUGGAGGAACACCGAUGGCGAAGGCAGCCCCCUGGGCCUGUACUGACGCUCAUGCACGAAAGCGUGGGGAGCAAACA